rnacentral:rRNA from 1 species
AGGUAGUAUUAUUUUAUAAGAAACCUAUGUAGUUUGGCGGCAUUUAAUCAUAUUAGAGGAACCUGUCUUUUAAUCGAUUCUCCACGUUAAUUUUUACUUUUAUUAAUAUUUUAUAUACCGCCAUCUUUAGAAUUAAUAUUUAUAUUCUCCCCUUAAUAGAAUAUCUAAAAAGUUAGGUAAAGGUGUAAACUAUAUAAAAGAUAAGAUGGGUUACAAUAAUUUUUAUUUAAGGAUAUUUAAUAAAAAUUUCAUUUGAAAAGGGAUUUAACAGUAAUAUUAAAAAUAAUUUUCUAAAAUGAAUUUGAUAAAAAAUGUGC